UAACACGUGGGCAACCUGCCUUAUAGUGGGGGAUAGCCUUUCGAAAGGAAGAUUAAUACCGCAUAAGAUUGUAGUAUCGCAUGAUAUAGCAAUUAAAGGAGCAAUUCGCUAUAAGAUGGACCCGCGUCGCAUUAGCUAGUUGGUGAGGUAAUGGCUCACCAAGGCGACGAUGCGUAGCCGACCUGAGAGGGUGAACGGCCACAUUGGGACUGAGACACGGCCCAGACUCCUACGGGAGGCAGCAUG
rnacentral:rRNA from 1 species